CUUUGGCACAUCUUUUGAUUAUCAUGCAGCUUCAAAUAUCUGCUGCCCUACUUUGAUUCCCAUGGCAAUGUCUUUCAGGAGUUCUCUUGGUUUAAAAAAAAAAAAAAGGCUUCACAGCAUGACUAGGAGCCUUAAGGUAGAGAACAAGGGCUUUUCUCUCCUUGCACAAAUGGGGAAUGACAGCAGCAGGCAGAAGAAAACUUCAGGGCCAACACACUGUAAACAACGCCUAAGGCAGACAAGUCUCCUGGUUGUGUCAGUUCUGUGGUCACAGCAAGUGAUAUUGGAGGAGAGAGGUAGAUCCAGUGAGCCCAGCAAGAUUGUCGUGUGUCUGGCACAACUCAUGCUGAAACUGUGCUUUCUGCAAAGGCCCCAGCAGUGUUCUUGUGCAGUGCAAUUCUCCAGAACUGCAAUAAUGCUGCAGGCUGUAUCUUAGAGGUGCUAGUUUGUCCUGUUUGCAGCUGUGGCACCUCCCACGCUUCAUGUCUAAGGUGAGGCAAUGGGAGUGGUGUGCAUGUAGAUGUGCAUGUAGAUGUAGCAUUAAGAAGUACUUGUAUGUUGUAAAUUCUCCUUUCAGAGGAGGGAAAAAAGAGAGUGUGGCCUCUUUUUUUUUUGGUUGCUUGCUGCCAAUUUCCCCUCUUCUUUUUGUUGGCUCCAUGCCUCCUGAAGGCAAGAAGGAACUGCCCAAAACUGUGUGAACAUAGCUGAUGCUGCAAAGAAUCCGUAAGAGCUCUGUGAAGCAGAGUUUAGAAACACAAUAAGAAAAAAAAAACAAAAAACAAAAAAACCCACACAUCACAAAACAUUACUUUCAAUAUUUUUUUUUCUGUCCAACUCCAAUUUCAACUUUUUGAAAAGGAUCCAUUCCAGUUCUUGAAACCAAACUCUUCUAUGUGAAUUGACAUCAAGAAAACACAAUGUUAGUUAGUCCAAGCUAGUGGACUUGAAAUCUAUUUUUCUCUGAGAAAGGUUUAGUUACUUAUGCUAGAAUGAGUUGACAGUUCACAGAAGUGAGUAACGCUUUCUGUAACACUGUGUUCUCUACUUCUGAAGAAAUACUGAAAUUCAGUGUAUUUAUCUUCAGUAUCCCUACUGGACUCCAAAGACUUCCACAGCUGAGAGAAUAGGAAAAAUAUCAUGGAAAUUUGAAGUUCAGAAUCCUCAAUAAGAAAAUCAAAAAAAGCAAGACUCUUCUGCUCAGUAGUUACAUUUUCAUCCUUAGCAACAACAUUUUUAAUAUUUCAAAAUAACUCUCACUGUAAUUCAGUAUCCCCUUUUGGUGGCAUAUAAAAAAUCCCACAAAUUUUUAAUUUUAUCUAAUUUUUACCUAAUUUGGAACACUGCUAAAAAUAAGCAGGUUGAUAUUCAAUAUUUUAACAGUGACUGCCUAAACAUAACCUUUGAAAAAAGCUUUUUGCAAAUACAAAUUACUUCUAUACACGAAAAUUAAGUGGACAAGUAUUUAGCAUGAAACAUUUUUUUACCUCCUCUGAACUUGCCUUUUUUUUUUUUUUUUUUUUUUCUCUCUCUCUCCAUAUAUUUGGUGCUAGUUGGAGCACUAAUACCUAGGACUUCUCUUCUGCAUAGUGUUUUCAGUGGCUUGGUAGGCAGCAGGCUCAGGUCUCAACAGAAGAGCUCGGACAAAGGCUGCAUUUAAUGCAAUUUGUUUCUUUCUCUCUAGCCCUGUUUUUCUUUGAAUCUGAAAUGCUUUUAAUUUUCACUGCCAUGAAUUAAAUUAACCCUUGUGAAAUAGAGCUUGAAGAAAGGAAAUAUGAAAUCAAUACAUGUUUCCAGAGAAAUUGGUGCCUGUGGAAUGUGCUUUAUUCAUGCAUAAACCAAUUAUUUGUAAUGAACAAUUAAUAAAUGGCAUCUUUCUUUGAAUGUUUAAUUGAGA
rnacentral:lncRNA from 1 species